rnacentral:rRNA from 1 species
UACGUAGGGUGCAAGCGUUAAUCGGAAUUACUGGGCGUAAAGCGCGUGUAGGCGGCUUGGCAAGUCGGGUGUGAAAGCCCUGGGCUCAACCUAGGAAGUGCACUCGAAACUGCUUCGCUUGAGUGUCGGAGAGGAAAGCGGAAUUCUCGGUGUAGAGGUGAAAUUCGUAGAUAUCGAGAGGAACACCGGUGGCGAAGGCGGCUUUCUGGACGAUAACUGACGCUGAGACGCGAAAGCGUGGGGAGCAAACAGG